rnacentral:rRNA from 1 species
GUGAGGAAUAUUGCGCAAUGGAGGCAACUCUGACGCAGCCAUGCCGCGUGCAGGAAGAAGGCGCUACGCGUUGUAAACUGCUUUUAACCGGGAAGAAACCCCAGGACGUGUCCUGGGUUGACGGUACCGGAGGAAUAAGCACCGGCUAACUUCGUGCCAGCAGCCGCGGUAAUACGAAGGGUGCAAGCGUUAUCCGGAUUCAUUGGGUUUAAAGGGUGCGUAGGCGGAGCGUUAAGUCAGUGGUGAAAUCCUGCAGCUUAACUGUAGACUUGCCAGUGAUACUGGCGCUCUUGAGUGCGCUUGAAGUGGGCGGAAUGUGCCGUGUAGCGGUGAAAUGCUUAGAUAUGGCACAGAACACCAAUUGCGAAGGCAGCUCACUAAGGCGAUACUGACGCUGAGGCACGAAAGCGUGGGGAUCGAACAGGAUUAGAAACCCGAGUAGUCC